ACCUCCCCAAAAAAGAAGCCCCAAAAUCCCCAAAAUCCAAUUCAAGUACGAGUAUAUAAUUUUUGGUGUCGUCCUCAUCUCUUUUUCUCAAAUCUCGAUCACAGACUUAGAUAGAUCCAGCUCUCUCUUUCAUUUCUCGACGUUAUCUCGCCGUCACCGUUGUUCACCAUCGCGGGCAAAAUGGCAGCACCUCAACACCACUGUCGUCUCGCGAUCUGUACUGAAAAAUUUGGUCUUUCAAUUCUCUUCCUUCUUUUCAUCAACAGAUCUACAAACCCGGAGAUCUUAAGAAGACGGAGCAAUGAAGUACAAGAAGCUGUUUAGUCAAGAGUUGCACUCGUGCAGUUUCAUGCACUUGCUCUGCUCCACCAGAUAUGAUAAAGUGAUAUGAAUACAUUUAUAUACUAUAUAAAUUGAUUAUAGUUUAUUGAAUGCAAAAAAUAUAUCUAGAUAUCUAUAUACUGUAUCUAUAUGUCAGGUCUCGAUUAUUAUCAUAGGGGAAGACACGUCACAAACAACAUAAAUAGGAAUUGUUGCAUUUUAUUUUGGCUGAUGUCUUGGUAACUUCUUGGCUACUUGGUCAAGAGGGCAUUUGUUUCACGGUUGCUGUUUCGCAUGUAAUCGAGGGCAGGUGCUAGCAAGCACAUCUAAGCUGGCGGUAAGAAACUCAUAAUCACUGCACCCGCAAAAGCUUCAAGACUCAAGCAAGGAGAGCUUGGCAGCUGUUACAGGAAUGUUUACUAGUAAAGCCAAGGGUAAAGCACUCUGACAUAGAUCGAGGAAGGUAAAGAGGAAUAUACGGAUGAUGAUUUGGAUGAAGUUCGUGAAGAAUGGGUAAAUUAUGUGGCAAACUUUAUUUUCCGGUCUUGAACUUUAUAUGAUUUAGCGGUUGUAAACUUUUAUGGUUAAUAUUAGAAUUUAAAAUUACUUGUAGUGUACGAAACACAUUGUUUUGAUAUAUAUGAAAUGCGCUCUGUUGCUAUUUGUGUA